UGGGGACUAUUUAAGUCCUAGAGUUCCAAGCUUGAAGGGGUGCUUUGGACAGAAACCAAACGGCGAAGUGAAAGCUUCCUCAUUAAAAUUACUUGCCCACAUUAUGCAAUUCCUACAAAGGCAUGAAUUCAGACUUAAGCAUGAUGAUUGGAUGAACACGG